CAACAGGGAUUGCCUUAGUAACGGCGAGUGAAGCGGCAAAAGCUCAAAUUUGAAAUCGGCCACCAGGUCGAGUUGUAAUUUGUAGAUUGUAUCUUGAGAGCGGAUUAAAGUCUGUUGGAACACAGCGCCUUAGAGGGUGACAGCCCCGUAAAAUCUAUUCUCAUUGUAAGAUACUUUCGAAGAGUCGAGUUGUUUGGGAAUGCAGCUCUAAGUGGGAGGUAAAUUCCUUCUAAAGCUAAAUAUUGACGAGAGACCGAUAGCGAACAAGUACUGUGAAGGAAAGAUGAAAAGCACUUUGAAAAGAGAGUGAAAAAGUACGUGAAAUUGUUAAAAGGGAAGGGUAUUGAAUCAGACUUGGUGCUGUUGUUCAACUGUGUUUCGGCAUAGUGUACUCAGCAGUACUAGGCCAAGGUGGGGUGUUUGGGAGUGAAAAAGAAGUWGGAASGUAACUCUUCGGAGUGUUAUAGCCUACUUUCAUAGCUCCUCAGGCGCCUCAGGACUGCGCUUCGGCAAGGACCUUGGCAUAAUGAUUCUAUACCGCCCGUCUUGAAACACGGACCAAGGAGUCUAACGUCUAUGCGAGUGUUUGGGUGUAAAACCCGUACGCGUAAUGAAAGUGAACGUAGAUAGGAGCAGUAAUGCGCACUAUCGACCGAUCCUGAAGUUUUCAGAUGGAUUUGAGUAAGAGCAUAGCUGUUGGGACCCGAAAGAUGGUGAACUAUGCCUGAAUAGGGUGAAGCCAGAGGAAACUCUGGUGGAGGCUCGUAGCGGUUCUGACGUGCAAAUCGAUCGUCGAAUUUGGGUAUAGGGGCGAAAGACUAAUCGAACCAUCUAGUAGCUGGUUCCUGCC
rnacentral:rRNA from 1 species